UGAUCUCCCUUUUUGGGGGACUUCUGACCACAUUUAAGGGCUGGCAGCAGAAAGAGCAGCUACUGUACCUGGAGACUGCUUCCUUUAGAGUGUGGGGUGAGCCCUUGGAAUGGGCUGAGUGAUUCCUUCUUUAUUUCAGGGUUGUGAUCUCCCCCAUUUUGGGGACAUUCUGACCACAUUUAAGGGCUGGCAGCUGUAAGGGCAGCAUUUAUCUUUGGAGACUGCUUCCCGUGGAGCAUGGAUGAGUAUUGGUCCUUGGGAAGGGGCUCCAUGGGGUUUAAGGAUUGCUUAAGUUUGUCUAAUCAGUGGUGUAAGCACUGUGAGAUCUGCAGAGCAGGUGGCAGCAGAGAGCUGCAGUGCUUCCGAGUCCUGUAACGACUGCACGGAGAGAUCUGUGGCUCUUCAUGAGAACAGCCAGGAACUGAAGUCUGCAUUACCUGGAUUGCCCUGGAACCUCACUUUGCUGACUGGUAAUUGUCUGCCCAGCAGGUAAGGGCAAUGCACACCCACCAGUGUUUACCCAUUCCAUAGCAUGGCAUGACACGAUGCUUCCAGAACUCUUAAUUGCACUUUAUGGUGCCUGAAAGGCUGCCUGUCCUUUUCUGUGUUCUCCUCGUCUCUGGCCUUUCACUGUAGUGUUUUCCUUCUCUUUGCCCUUGAUAUUCCCAACUGCAUUCUCCUGCCCUCCUGUUUUUGCGUUCCAUGCCACAUUCUCUAGGCCACUGCCCUUGGCUUUCUUUGCUGCAUUCACUUCAGCAUUCAGUUUUGGCGUUCCCUGUUGCAUUCUCUUGCCCUCCUGUUUUGGCAUAUCCUUCUGUGUAGUCUUGGCCAUCAUCCUUGGCAUUUCUUUCCAUGUUCUUUUGGCUCUGGCCCUUGCCUGGGAAUUCCCUUGCCCUCCUGUUUUUGUCUUCCAUGCCAUGUUCUCUUAGUCAUUGCCCUUGUUUUUCUUUUGCCACAUUCUCUUCAGUAUUUGGUUUUGGCAUUCCCUUCUAUGUUCUUUUUGGCCAUUGCCCUUGCUUCCUGGCCCUGUUUUCUUUGGCCUUCUGCAUUAGCCUUCCCAACUACCCUCUCUUUGCCCUUGCUCAGGGAACAGAGCACUACAGUGCACUUCUGUGUUGGAGGUGCUACCUUGCAUGUGUGGGACAGUGCCUUCAUUAUUGUAUUGCAAUCAACAGGUGGUGGCAGGGAACCGCAGUGCUUCUGGGUGGUGUAACAACUGCACCGAGAAAUCUGUGUCUCUUCAUGAGAGCAGCAAGAAAUAGAAAGCGCCAUUUCCUGGAAUGCCCUGACUUUGCUGACUGGCUGCUGGUUGCCCAAACUGGUGGCAACAGAAGAGGGUCUGCUGUUUCUCUGAACAACAUUGUUAGCUAUCCUGUCUCUGGACAUGCUUGGACAGUAAAACCACAAAUUAACAAAGAAGCAGCAGAUUGAUGGAUGGAAUUCUGGAGUUGUAGCUGAUAAGACAACUGGGUGGAGUGAGACAAGCAUCCUUCAGCUUGAUCCAGGUCAAAGAGUGCACAGCGAGAAAGACAUGGCCUUCAUUAAAAGACCACCAGAUGACCCUGAGAGAUACCACGCAUGUGUAAAAGAACUGAGACUUGGGGUGAGGAAAAAUGUCAAUCCUUUUGGGGACUCGCUACAAUAACCCAGCCUCUUCUUGGACUUCCACCAGAUGGUGAGCUCAGGCUUUACAGGCUAGAGGUGGAGCUAACACAGAUCUCUGGAUUUUCAAAAAGGAACAAGAAGGCUGAGAAUCAGGUGCUUUGUUUGACAUUUUUACUGGCUGUCCUACUUAAAGAUUCUGCCUGUCCAUAGGCACAUUUGGUUGGUUUGGCGGGAGCUUAGGAGCUCGGUGCUUAUGACUUCAGUUCUUUGUGAUACAGAGCUGUGCCACUUGCUGCCCAGAUCAAAUGCGCAUGUUGGAAGAGAUUACUCUAUGCAUUUUAUUUGCUUUAAUGCUUUUAAAGAGUGAGAGUGGUAUAUGCCUUCAAACAGGUAACGUAUAAAUUUUUUCCUUUUUUUUUCCCUUUUUCCCUUCAAGCAGUGGCUUGGGGAAAUAUGGAUGCUUUCUUCUCUGCCGCUAUGUUUCCCACAGUGGCAUUCUGGGAAUGGCUUGUCAUUGAUUUUUUUCAAUACUGAAGAAACAUAGCAUUCUUUUUAUUCUGCCUGUGUGGAACUCCCUUUGUUUCCUCUGUAGUUUUGAGUUGUGCUCUGCAACAGAUUGUUCAGCUGAAUCUAGAACAGUUGCCAAAGAGGAGUCUGUGGGCAAGUGGCUCUGGAUUUCCCAGACCAUCUAUGACCCAGAGGUUGUAAAGCUCCUUCCCUCCUCACGAAGCAUUCUCAUUGUCCUUACACAGUGUUCUAUGUUACUGCUGUACUGAGACUUUUAUGACAAAUCCAUUAUCUGUUUCCCAAAGGUGAUGCUGAGAAACACGCCUCAUGAUGACUUAUACCUCACGUUUCAUAUUCAUUCUUCCUUUGGGUCAGAAGUAGACCAAAUCCUUGAAACCACGCCUGGGAAUCCCGCUGUUAAUAAAACAGUUCAGCCGUGGUGCCCGUGGUCA
rnacentral:lncRNA from 1 species